rnacentral:rRNA from 1 species
AUGUCUUCCUCCUCCGGCGCCGCCCAAAUCAACCUCAAUGGCCAGGUGACCGAGAAGCUGACACACACAAACUAUGUGCUAUGGCGCACGCAAGUUAUUCCCCAGCUGCGUGGCGCCGGUGUCUUCGGCUAUGUCGAUGGCACUCAGCCGGAGCCGGCGAAACUCCUCGUCACCACCAAGGACGGCAAGGAAACUUCAUCGCCCAACCCUCUCCACCCAAUUUGGGUCCGGGAGGAUCAGCAGGUUCUUGGUUAUCUGCUGAACAACCUGACGCGCGAGGUGCUGCUCAUGGUGACCAUGGUCACCACCGCGGGCGCGCUCUGGACGACGCUCGUCGGCAUGUUCUCCUCGCAGUCCGCCAGCCGCAUCAACAACAUCCGAACCUCCCUCAUCAACACGCAGAAGGGCAACCUCUCCGUCGCCUCCUACUUUGCUGCCAUGCGCGGCUACGCCGAUGAGCUAGCCGCCACGGGCAAGGCGAUCCCCAAUGACGAACUUGCCUCCUACAUCAUCCACGGGCUCGACACCGACUAUUAG